UACGUAGGGUGCGGAGCGUUGUCCGGAAUUAUUGGGCGGUAAAGGGCUCGUAGGCGGUUUGUCGCGUCGGGGAGUGAAAACCAGGUGCUUAACACCUGGCUUGCUUCGAUACGGGCAGACUAGAGGUAUGCAGGGGAGAACGGAAUUCCUGGUGUAGCGGUGAAAUGCGCAGAUAUCAGGAGGACACCGGUGGCGAAGGCGGGUCUCUGGGCAAUAACUGACGCUGGAGGAGCGAAAGCGUGGGGAGCGAACAGG
rnacentral:rRNA from 1 species